UGAGCUGAGAUUGCACCACUGCACUCCAGCCUGGGGUGACAGAGCAAGACCCUGUCUCAAAAAAUAGAAAUAACAUAAAAUUGAGGUGGGACAGGGCCUUCCGUGGUUUGAGCCUCCUGCCAGUGCCAGGGCUAAGGGAGGAAGCUCUUCAGCCUGGGUGUGAGCAGAGGGGAAGCAGGACCACUGAGGCUGCAUCCCUGACAGCAGCCAGACAUCAAAGAUGGAGUUGGACAGGGACGGGAUGGGAAGGGUCAGGGAUGGAAGUGGCAGGAGGUGCUGGGCAGCUGGCCGCAUGCUUCCUGGCUGACUGCAAACUGUCCUGGCCAUGGCCUGAGACCCGCAGGGUCCCCAGGAUCUAACAGGGAGAGGGGGCUUCACCGCCCCAGGUGCAGUGUCUCUGGCCCCACAGUGCUUUGUGGCUGCUGCUUUCUGGACCCUCAGAUCCACCAGGAGGCUCGCUGGCCCCGCUGCAGGGGGCUCCAUGGACAGAGCUGGAAGGGGGCGGGACUGGCACAUUCAAGGAAGCUUUCAAGAGGGGUUAAAAAGAAGGGGUGUGCUCCAGUCUGUCAGCCUGACGUCCUUCACGGGACCACAGACCGGGAACUGAGGUUCCCUGCGAGGGGUGGACGCUGCCUUCUCUGAACGUCCCCACCUUGAAGGCAAGAGCGCCCAGAGGUGUUCACUUUUGGUGUUGGCCUUUGAGCUGGGGCCUGCAGCUGUUUCUCUGAAUUCCUUCUACUUUGUUUCCUUGUGCUCUUGCCUGGGAAGAAUUAAAUGAGAAUGCAAAGCCCAGAACCUGGCGGAGAUGGGAUGCCCCAGGCUGGAGUGGGCAGGGUUGCGCUGUCAACCCACUCUCAGCACAAACGCUGCCCGUUCUUCACCUCUCCGCGCUUGCUGCCAGAGCGUGUCAAAGACCCCGAAGAAUGAAAUGACUUCGGAAGAGGAGGCCACACACCCGUGAAACCAGCUGGAUCUGCAGCGGAACAUUCUUUACGUGUUUUGGGACAUUUCAAAGAAUGAUGGCGUGCUGCCUUUGUGAUGUGGGAUCUGAAGAUUCCAUCAAAGAAAGUGUGUCCUUUGUGUGAAA